GAAAGCUGCGUGCUGGGCCUUCAUUUCUUUGCCACGGUCAAACGGCUAUGUAGAAAAAUCUGUAAUUUUGAUACAAUCACCUUGAAACACUCACGAACAUCCUCCAAUUGGAAUCACUCCAAAAUUCAUCUGUUUGAUCGGUUGUUGCUCUAGAGGAAUCGAAUGUCCUACAUUGAAAAUACAUAACAAAGUAUCAAAAUUCUACCAAAAUAACUAAUAAACUAUAACUAAGAUUAGGGUAAAAUAUAUAGUAUAAUAUCGACUCAUCAAAUACCCCCAAACUUAGCAUUUUGCUUGUCCUCAAGCAAAACAAAACUAGAAAACAAAAAUAAAAACUAACAAACUAGAAACUUAACUAAACUUGACUAAGACAAUUUUCACUUUAAGUCGCAAGCCAUAGAAAACGUUAAAAAUUAGAACAUAUUUUCAAAACUUCCAACUAAUCCCACCCCAAAGUCCAAGCCAUGUUAGUUCCCUUAAGCUUUUGAUGAUUCAAGAGUUAGAACAUACUUUCAUUUUUUUUUUCAGUAACAGUAGUGGCCGUGCAAUGUCAGUUUCCUUAAGCCUUUGAUCCAACCCAUGUAGUGAGCUUUAGGUCAAUGACUCCCAAACCACUAAAAGGCACUAGGUAUAGAACACCCCUAAGGACUUAUUAACUCGAGCUACAAAGGCUACAAAACCAACUAACCACCCUGCCCCAUGCCAAAACUCUACCGUUUGACACGAGAAUCACUACUGAUCAGACAGGACUGGCCCGGUUACUAAGCAAAGUCUCGAGUGUCACAGCCCGUCCCGUGAUUCUUUUUAUCGAGGUUGUGAAAUGACAAAAUUAUCCUUGACGGGUGCCAAGGUAGGUCUGUGACAUAUUAUUGAACAAUGCAUUUUCCCUAAGUUUUGAAAAGUUUGAAUUUUGAUUAAAGGUUGUAUCUGUUUUGUGUGGUUAGGGAAAGAAGUUGAACUUAUUUUGGGAUGGACCACACACACGCACACACGGGAUACCCUCACCCCGUGCCCUCUCUCUCUCUCCUCCUUCUCUAUCACUCUCACUCUCUCCCUCUCGAAACUGUACGGACCGACCCAAAAACUCUUGAAACUUCAUGGAUCGAAGUGGAGAUUAGCACCAUUGUGUUCGUGAGUGCCCUACGAACUCAAAGGUUCCAUUUUCAGGUAAGAAACCCUUCGUUUUCACGUUGAAAAUUCAAGGUCUGAAUUGGGUACCAUUCAUGAACUUUGUAAUGGUUAGUUUUUAGGACAAUCCAAGCUCAUAGUGAGCUCUAGGAAGUUCCCACGAAGCUCGGGGAUGUUCAUUUGGAAGUUUUGGACGUCGGGAAACCCUAGUUCGAAGGUGGCCGGUUUUGGUGAAGUUUCCCGACGUGAUUUUCGAAGGUUUUGAGACUCCAAAGAGGUAUAGUCUUCUUCCCCUCGUGAUUUAGGACAUUUUGGUGAAAAUUUCAUGGAAAAUGGUUGAGAAAUGACAGAGAACAAGGAGAUUGAAAAAUCUCCAGUUUCUGGCGACCGGAAAAACCAGUCUGGCGACUGGAGGAAGAAGAUGACGCGCGUGGGGCGCGUGGGUCCGUGCCCCUCCCGGCGCGUGGGGGCGCGUGCAGCCUCAAAUUUUUUUCUAAAAAUAUGUCGACGUCCGUGACGUCGAGUAGGUCACUAUGGUAUAUUCAUAUACCCAAAUUGAGCACUGUAUGAGAAGUUAUUACGAAUUGUCGAUUAUGUGCUUUAAUUAACGUUUUUAUAGUUGUUUCGCAUAUAGGUGAUACCUAUCCCGCGGACGAGCGCAUCCAGGGACGUCACGGGGGUUACGACCCUUCGACUUACCAGUGAGUGGGCAGUAUUUUAUGUAUUUACCUAUAUACUAUUGAUUUUUCCCAGAAAUUGAAUUUAAAUGAAAGUAUGUUUUUAAAAUGCCAUGCAUGCAUAUUGUGAAUUAUAUGAAUUAGUAAUUGAUGCAUAUAUAUGUGAAAUGGUGUUGUGGACGCACAGGUGAGUUUUAUGUUAUUCAUAUGGUUUAUUGAUGAUGUGAAUUGCGUUGAGAGCUCAUAACCUGCACCCCUGGUGUUAGUGCUUAUAUUAUUCACCCGCACCGCACGCUCACCUUGGAUCCAAGUAGGUGCAUGUCGCACAGACCAUGAGAGGGUUCCGACAUGCUAGUCAUGCAGAUCACUAAAGGUGGUUCCGAAUGGUAGGUGACCUUAGAUUAUGUGCACAGAUGACUGAUGAGAGAAGCACUAGAUCGUAUUAUUACACCAUUCUAGUCGUACAGACUACUUCAGGUAGUUCCGACUUAUGUGCAGAGUAGUGCCGUACAGGUCACCGUGGUGACUCCGGUUGGUUUGGAUAUUGAGCUAUGGAAUUAACCGUACAGGACCAACUGCAGGGUCUCCGGUUGAUUCAUUAUGUCACCUGUUAUAUUGAUGCAUUCUUAAUCUGUUAUUGACAUUUAUGGCAUGGCAUAUUUUCUGGGUUUUGAUAAAGAAUUGUGAUUUGAGAUAUACAAAGAUUAUAUGCAUAUUAUGUUAUUUUCUGGGACAGUAUACAGGUUUUACAGUGAGGGGUUAGAAAUGUUUUAGUUAGCAGCGUUGGUGGCCCACGAUGAUUCCCACGGCGUACUGACAAACUACAUAAAUGUAGGACUCACCUGCGGGUGUUGUAAUUUAGUUAUGGUCUUACUUGACUGCACCUAGUACUUAUGCUCUGAAUUUGUGUGUUUCACAGUUAAACUUACUCUAGCACGUUACUUGGUUAUUAUUGCUAGUAUUUGGUUUUUGUUUAUUUGUAUUUCUCUUAUCUAUUGCUUCCACCUCUCACUUUUGGUUACGUCACGCCCACGUGACGGCCAGCACGCCUUGAUUCUAGGAUCGGGGUGUGUCAUCGGGUGGAACAAUUAUUACUUUAUAACAAUAACUAACUUUACUUUACUUAGAACAAAAAAUAAAAUACACUUAGAUGAAAAGUAAGUGUUUCAAUCUCACUCCCCACAAACCAUGUUGGUGUGAAAUGUGCAAAUUUUCAAAUUAUAACUCAUGAAUUAGUGUCUAAACAAUGAUAAAUAGAAAAAACUCCAAUAUGGGAUUAACCUUCACCAUGUCCAUUUGUUCUAACGUUUAAAAUUAAGUAUGGAUAUUAACUUCAAAAGAAUGAAAAUUUUAUUUGACUCAAAAAGUAAAAAUCUAAAAUUUCUUAUUUUCCACUCCCAAACUUAAAUCACACAUUGUCCUCAAGGUGUGAAAAAUAAAUGAAAUCAAAGAAACAACCCUUAAAACAAAAAAUUAAAUACUAAACCGAAACCUAACUAAACCUAAAAAUAAUUAAAAGAUAGUAAAGACAAACAAAAAAACAAAAUGAAAAGUGACAAAAUAAAUAAAGAAAGAAAGAAAAGAAAAGAAGGCAACUAGGUUGAAAAUGUGGACCUAGCAUUGGACAUGGGGCCUGAUGCAAGGAAACAUGGAGCAAGAGUGGCAGCCAUUGAAACCAAAAGACACUAGGCCUUGAAAAUAUCCAUGCACCCAUUUGAAAACCUGCCCCCGUGAUUGCAGACACCACAAACAGAAGUCACACGCCUGGCACACGUGCAAUGCACAUGGGUGAUUGAAACCCUAAGGGUGCGUUUGUUGCACCAGACUAUCUCGGACUGGACUAGCUUCAGGACUAAGUUGGAUUGGCUUAGACUAUACUAAAUUGGAUUGAUUUAGUGAAGUAUUUGGUGCAGUGGCGGACUAAAAAGUAAGACUCUAAUAUUAUAUUAUUUAAUAUAUAUCUAUAAUAUUUUAUUAUUAACUUAAUAUAUAUUUAUUAAUAUUAUAUUAUUAAUUUAUCUUUUUCUUAUUUUCUAGAAUCAUCCGGGAAUCAUCUUUCUCUCCAUCUAACUUCUCAUUUUUUUUCUCCACCGUCGCUCUCCCCUCUCCAUCUAUCCUCUAAUAUUUUCCUCCCUCUAUGUAUCCAAGUUUCUUGGCUCCUUUUCUCCCUCUGUUUCACAGACGAUUCGAAUUAAAAUCAUAAAAAAUGGAGAUAUGCCUUCCCCCAAAAAACCCCGCACUCUCAAGCUUAGCAUCGCCAAUUCCAUGGCAGCCAUGGUGAGUUUUCCUAUUCAGCUUCCUCUCUUUCUUCCCUUUGUUUUUCCAUUCAAAUCCCUCUCUCUCUUCCCUUUGCCUUUUUUCAUGUCCAACUCCCUGAGUGGUAAUUAGAUUAUGGGUGGUCACCAGAUUCUAAGAUUUUAGGUCGUGGGGGGCUGCGGUCAUUGAAGAAGGCUGCUUGAGACGGAUUUGGAGAGAAGAAGGCAGUGACAUCUAGUCCUAGCUAAUACCAUGCUUUUGGUUAGGAUUAGCUAACAACAGCUAAUGAGGCCCAGAGUCGAGGCGAGUCUGAGCUAGCGUCAGUAAAGCUAAUCCUUUGCUUUGCCAAACACUGGACUACACUGGCUGUUAGUCCAGUUCAGUCUAGUGAGAGCUAAGGAUGUCAAACAAACACACCCUAAAGCUCCACUAGAAAAAUGAAAACACACCCCAUUGCCAUAAUUUCUUAUGGCUGAGAACCAUCUCUAGCCCAGAGCCAAACGAAUGUCUUCCCUUCUCCAGACUUUUCUCUCUAGCCUUCUCUUCUACAAAAAUGAGAAGUCUCUCUCACUUUCCCACUCGUCAACAACACAGUAAAAAGGUUCAUGGAGUGCAUCGCACCUACAAACGGACAUGUAGGCCUCAUUUUCAUCCCAUCCAAGAGCUUAAAGGUACAAAGAGAAAACUCCCCAAACUUCUUUGUUUUAGUUUCGAUUGUGCAUUUCAGUAAAAUAAACCAAAACUAACAAAUGCAUGUGGUCUUUCUCUGCACAGGAAAACUCGAGUAACAAAGAGAAAUCAAGCACCGAUUUGUGGCAGAACAGUUGGCAGAGUCCAGGAUUUUCAGAUCCAAAAGGAAGGUAAAUAGCGGACGACCCCCAAACUUAUUUCGUUGUUUCUUGAUCCAAAUCUGUGAAAGGUAGUCCUGGAUCUGUGUAUAAUGCGAUGCAUCAGUAUAAUGUCCUUUGGAAUUAUCUCUGUCUUCAUGUAUCGUGUAUGACUAAGUUUAUUUUGCAUGUUUCCUAAUUAUGAAUGCCGAGGAAAAUCUGCGCAAAACUUGAUCUGCAAUAUAUGGACCCUUAUGCACACUUGGAACCCCGAUUGUAGAAUCAUGCAUGUAUUAUAGGCUUUCAUAUGGUCAUGUUUAUUGGUGAAUGAAUGAUGAAUGUAUGAAUCCACACGUGGUUGAGAUUAGACCGAAUCAAUUCUGAAUGCAGCCUACAAUCACAAAUUAAAAACCUAAUUGGAUAAGUAAAGAAAAAUAACUAGAAUUAAAGAUUGCAAUUUUUUUUUUAAUUUUCUGAUUUUUUAUUUUUUUGUGAUUUUUGUAAUUUGGAAUAAGAGCAAUAAAUUAAAAAAAACGAAACAAAAAGAAAAGAGUUCGAAAAACUUGGUUGCCUCCCAAUUAGCACUUUAGUUAACGUCUAUAGCUAGACGUAGAGGAAUGAAUUGAUGAUCACGUCACUUGUUCUCUUAGAGUCAACGACUCCUUAGCAGCAUCAUAGGGUAUUAGUAGGUAAGGAGUGACUUGAUGUUUAUUGACUGAGUAUUUAAAUGUUGUGGUUGCGUCCUUAAUGUAUGCUCUUUUAUGUGAAUGAAUUCUUAUAAUCAAAGAGGCCCCUUCAAGCGAGGCUUGCAUCUCCGUUGAACUGACUUAAACCUUGUAUUUAACACCCAUAAUUUAUGCACUAGUCAAAUUUCUUGAUGAAGAAUAGGGCUGCCAUUAAACUUUUUCUUCAUUUCCACGUAGAACUUAUCCUUAUGGUAGGACUCAUCUUGAAUUUCUUUGAGUUUUAUUGGUUGCACAGGUGCACUGUCUGUUACAGCAGCAAAAAUUAUUUUAUCUUUAUCUAUUUGCCCUGUAUCAAAAUUUGGUAGAUUUGUCAAGUGUUGGUCAUGUGUUGGAUCACAUUUUGAAUUUGUAUGAAUAAGCCCUUCAAACAUGUCAGUUUCAAUGACAUCAUGCAGCUUUGUUGGUGGCUUUGCAACCUCGGGAUAUUAAAUGUGUGGCAUAUAGAUUUGGGUAGCAAGGGGUUCUGUGGAAAUUUCAAGAUUAGCAUUUUCCUCCAUUGGGCGAGAGUCAAUGCCUGGUGGCUCCUCAAUUUUAGUGUCUUCCUGUAUGUAGUCAUAACUCUCUACACAUUGCGGUGUUUGAAUUACACACCAUUCCUUUGAAUCUUGUGGGCUAUCAAUUUGUUGACAAGGAAACUCGUCUUCCUCGUGUUCGUCCCAUUGAUGCAUGAGCUGCCCAACUUGUUGCACUAGAGUAUCUAAUGAAGGCUAGGUAUCCUGAAUCUCACAGUGGUUGCUUUCAAAGGAUUUAGCCAUGUUUUCGAUUGCAAUAUCUCAAUCAGCUUUUGUUGGCACAAUAGGUUGUCCAAAAAGCUGAUGACUAGGUUCCCACAUAGGAUUUUGAUGCUUUGGCCAUGAUGGAUUAUAAAAAUUUGAGUAGGGAUCGCACCUAGGCCUUUGAAGAUUGUUCCUUAUAUUAAUAUGGUGCUGCACAAACUCUGGAAAAUACUACCUUCGAGGACAAUACAUAAUAUCAUGGGUAUUCAAAUUGCAAAGAGCACAAACUGUAGGUGCUCCUUGUGAGGAACCAAACAAAUCCAUUGUUGCAAUGCUCUCAAAAUCAAUAUAAAAUAAAAUCAAAAUCAAGUAAAUAAAAAGAUAUAUACAAAAAUAAUUAACUAAGAGCUGAUAAACACAAAUUAUUUGAAGCAAUCCCUGGCAACGGCACCAAUUUCUUGAUAGAAAUUUUUACCACCUGCAAAAGUGAGGAUAAAAACACUUAAAAAUACUUGCAAGAGUAUAAGGUUGUGUAGUAUAGCAGCUCAAACAAGGUCGUUCUCCACAUAGAUUGAAUGAAUAAUUUAUGUUAAAAUUAAAUCUUAAUUAAUUAUUUGAAAAUAAAGUUUGGAAGAGGUUGAUUUUAUGACCAAAAAUAUUAAAAACAAAUUUAAUUAAAAUAGUUUUGAAAAUAAAUUUGAGCACUAGGGUUCCGCCGUCAUCUUAACAAUCCUACGUAGUUCUUUCAAUUACUUAUGACUUACACACACAUAUUUGAAAGUUAGGUUUUUCUAAAGUAUGCCCUACUUGGAACCUCCAACAUAUAACGUAUAUCUAACAUGCAACUCGUCCGUAGUGUUCAAAUCGAAUAUGAACAUGCAAGACUCAUUAAGUUUUGUGAAAACCUUUUGAAAAACCAUAUAACCCUUAAGACGUGUCCAUCCUAAGAAGUUACACAUUAACCAUAAGAAGCCAAAGCCAAUUCAAGGGACAGACCUCCGCCAAAAUUGCAUCAAAUUAUUUUUCUAAAUAUCCAAAUGAUGGCCAAUCAUCAAGACAAUUAGAUAGUUUAAACCAGUGAUUAAUAAUUCAAAACCCGUAUGCAUAAUAUUAUAAGCAAAUUGAAAAGAAACUACAUAUUCUUACUAAGGCUUGUAGACUCGCCCCAAUAAACGAAACUAGUUACUAACAACCAUAAAACAAAAUAUUAUUAAAAACAUGGAUAGAAAACACCUUGAAAAUAAACUUGAAUUGUCAAAAGCUCUCUAAAGCCAAAUGCGUGUGUUCUCCCCCUCUUCUCCCUAAUGGCUAAAAAGCCUUAUUUACAUUACUUCAAAAUAAAACCCUUACUAGAAGAGGUCUUAAAAUAAUACUAGGAAACAUAAUAAAAUAAUAAAACAGAAAAUAAAUGGUUUUCUAUUUGAACUAAAAUUCGGAGUUCUCAGAAAAUUAGUCUUAUGACCGACCAAAUCAACUUUGAUUUGGUUCCAAAAUGUCUCUUUUGAAGCUAAAGAUGUCCCCUACAUAUCCUCAGAAGGAAUAUCCCUUAAAAUAUGCCUUCUUGACCUUCAAAAUACUCACAAUGUCCAUAAACGUUUAUCUAGGAAAGCUGCGCGCUGGACCUUCAUUUCUUUGCCACGGUCAAACGGCUCUGCAGAAAAAUCUAGAAUUUUGAUACAAUAAUCUUGAAAGACUCACAAACAUCCUCCAAUUGGAACUACUCCAAAAUUUAUCCGUUUGUUCGCUUUUUGCUCUAGAAGAAUUCGAAUGUCCUUAGUUCAACAAUUACAAUAUGUCACUAUAUGUUCAUAUAUAAUUACUAAACUUUAUUCCCAUGACAACAACCAUAUCCAAUAGGGACCUUCACUUAACCAAAAUAAAAAUUAUGUAUUUGAACUUUUUAUUAUUUCAAAUAGGUCCCCAAAAUUUUGAUAAUUGCACUUUGGCCCCUGAACUUCUGGUAAUUUACAAAAUUACCCUAAAACUAAAACUAUUUUCACAAUUCAAUCCUUGGUAUGAAACCAGCAGCUUUGAGGUUUGUUUUCCUAGAAAUUCAACAUAUCUUUCAAGCCAAAGCACAAUCAUCAAUAGUACAACUCAUUUCUUCCAUACAAACGUCCUUUAAAGACCAAAUUUGAUGAAUUUCGAGUCAAACAUAAAAUUUCUCUAAAUCUCAUCCAUAUGAAAGUGGUACAAAAUCCCAGAAAUCUGAUCAUAUGUAAAUCUUUACCUUAAUGUCUCAUAAAUCAUUGUCCAGUCAUCAAAUAGGCAUCAAAGCCCUUGAUUUCAAAGCUAAAACGAUGAUCCACGUCACUAUUGCAAUAGCUAAGCUCCAUGUACUUGAGCAAGCUCCUUGAUCACUCAUAAUGCCAUGUAUUUCUUCCACUCUAUUUUUUUUUUCUAAUCUCUCUCUCUAACAUAUACACACACGUAUACACAAACCAUGCAUGCAUACAUGCAUGGCUUCUCAGUAGCCAACAUAUGUUUCGAAAAGU
rnacentral:lncRNA from 1 species